CGGCAACAACAACCCAAAAAAACACUUUUACUUCCGUGAAGAGCGUUGAAGUUCCUUACGCCGGAGGACACUCUCUAGUAUGAAUCCCGGAGAAAUAUUGAACACAAGGCCAUAGGACUAGAUGAAGCCUAGCUCUGUCGUCACCCAGGCUGGAGUUUAAUGGCGCAAUCUUGACUCACUGCAACCUCCACCUCCUGAGUUCAAGCGAUUCUGCUGCCUCAGCCUCCUGAGUAGCUGGGAUUACAGGUGCCCACCAAUACACCUGGCUAAUUUUUGUAUUUUUAGUAGAGAUGGGGUUUCACCAUGUUAGUCAGGCUGGUCUUGAACUCCUGACCUCAGGUGAUCCACCUGCCUCGGCCUCCCAAAGUGCUGGGAUUACAUGCAUGAUCUACCGCGCCAAGCCAAUUUACUCAGGUUUUAGUGUUAAAAUGUAUUUGCAGCAUGAAUGUGAUGUUUCUAUAUAUAUUAGACUCAGCAAAUCAGUGAAACAAGUUUAAUUUUUAAUUUAUUAGAACCCAGUAAAUGAUGUUUUUAAAAGCAAAGUUUCCAUCAAAUUAACACUUAAUUCAGGGCAAAAAUACACUUUAAAAACCUAAAUCUUAAGGCAGAAGUAAAACAUUAUAAAAACAGUAUGUCUACUACAGACUGUAAAAUGUCAGAAUUUUAAGAGAUUCACAUAGUAUUUUAUAGCAGUAAAAUAUUAAUACAGUCAGAAAUAUUAUCAGUUGGUCCAAGAUUUCUGUUUAUAAAAUGUCGAGGCUGCUAAUUGAAGAAAUGUUGCCAUAUAAGUACAGCUACAAUACAACCAACCAAGUGAUUGUUUUUAUGACAAAAGAACAAAGGCAGGUAAUUGCAUGGUUUCCAUUUGUAAAGCUUUUGCAGUAUUAAAUAUAAAGUAUUAAUAGGGAUAUUUUUAGACUCAUCUCCCUACCCUAAUGCCCCCAAAAGUUACAUAACUUCCCUUUAACUCUAUUUUUAAAAUUCUGUGAACCACCAUGCCUAUUCAUUGUAGGCCUGACCCUGUAAAGGCAUGAAUUGUUUACUUUGAUAUGGUAGAAAAACAAUUUUAGUAAACUGCAUCUUUUCCUAGUCAUUAAGCAAUUUUAAACAAAAGUCUUAAGAAUUUUUGCACCUCAACAAGUGAACAACCUGUUUCUCUACCACUGUACAUUUGAAUUUUGACUAGAAUCUGUUAGUAUACAGGGGAAAACAUACUUCAUGUUUAUGUGCAAUUAACAGUAGCCCUUCGGAAAAACAGGGUUAACAAUCUUAAAUUUACAUUUCCCCUUAUGACCAAAACCUUUUGUGUUUUGGGAACAGGAUAAGACUUAAAAGUGCUUUAAAUCAGAAAACAAGAAUUAGGUUGCUUACACAUUCCAUUGAAUAGUGUCAAAAAAGAUAAAGGCAUUUAAAAUAAUUUGUAAGUCCAGCAAAUACAAGCUUGAUGGGUUCUUAACUUACAUAUUAAGUAAUUACCAAGAUUCAUUAUUUUAUAAACUUUUAAGCUACUUUAAUAAAAUGGCUAUAGACCUCACUGUACUUCUAUUUAUCUGUGCAUUAAUAAAAACCUGUUAAAAUUCCUUAUUUAGUACUUCUGAAAAAGUCUAGUCAAAUAAGAUCACUAAAAUUACCAGAAAAGCUUUGAAAUACUGAUUACAGAUUCAUUUCAAAGGAGAUUUAACCCCUUUCAGGAUCUGGUGUUUAAAUCAUUAAUGUCAUCACCAACUUCAACUCUGAAAAUAUAAAAAUUUUAGCCAGUGCGCUAUAGUUAAACAAUACUGGUAUUACUUGAAAAAAUAAAAAUUAAAAAUAUAUUAUCAAUCAUGCAUUCCAUAAUUUCAAGAACUAAGUAAGAUAUAACUCAUAAAUAUUGUUAUGUCUUUACAGGUUAUCUCAAUUUCCAUCAGGCCUCAGCUGAAAUCUUAUCUGCCAAAACACAUCUGCACCCUUGUAAAAUAAAAGGAGUAGGGAGGUGACUUUGUAUACAUACUGUCCAGUGUUUGGCUUCUAGUUUCCCGUCUUGUGUGUAACUAUUCUAGGUAUGACUCCUUGAGCAUGAAAUGAGGGAUAGAUAGAACAGAACAGCUGUUGGGCUAACAAGAAUUAGUGUAUAGGACAUGGUGGCUCAUGCCUGUAAUCCCAGCACUUUGGGAGACCAAGAUGGGAGAAUCACCUGAGGUCAGGAGUUCAAGACCAGCCUGGCCAACACGGUGAAACCUCAUCUCUAUUAAAAAUACAAAAAUUGCCAGGCAUGGUGGUGGGCAUCUGUAAUCCCAUCAGGAUUACAGAGGCUGAGGCAGGAGAAUCGCUUGAACCCAGGAGGUAGAGGUUGCAGUGAGUCUAGAUUGUGCCAUUGCACUCCAGCCUGGGCAACAAGAGCAAAACUCCAUCUCAAAAAAAAAAAAAAAAAAUUAGUGUAUAAAAAGUUUUCUGC